CAUCGACGUGUGGUUUUGCGGUGGUAGAUCUGUCGUGGCGGCAACGCAUUUCCGGUGGAGAUUUUGAUAUUUAUCUGACCCUUCCAUGGGCUUAGGGUUUCAGGAGAUCUCGGUCGCAAGGUCUUUUCCAAUAUGGAAUUUUUUGUGGUGGUUAUGCGGAUUGGUUAGCAGAAUUUUGUGGGAAGUGGCGGUUCGAGUCGGUGAUGCAGCCUGUUAUAACAACCUGUUAUGGCAAAUAAAUGUUCUUUGUCAUAUUGUCUUUUAUGUCAUGUCAAACUAAGUUGAAAGCAUUCUACAGUUUAUUUCUUUGUAUUUCCCUAACACAGUUCGUUUUGUAUAGAUGUUAUCGGUGUCGUUGACACCGUGCUUUACACUCAGCAAAACUCUGGAGGGAAGAAGCCACAGAGUGUAAAUCAAUUUCAAUCUCAACAUAAUCUGCUUCUCUCUUUUAGGUAAAUUUGGAGCUUUAUUUGCAUCAAUACCGUUCCUAUACUUGCUGUUAUAUAUUGGAUUUUCUUAAGUGUCAAUAAGAUUUUACCACUCUAUCUGUCUCUGUGAAUA